GCGAAUGGGCAUGACUGGCGGACUUCUUCAGAAUCCUUAACAAAUGACAGGGCCAAGCCUUUUGCCUGGCAGUAUUGCCUCCCCAAGCACAGCAAAGCCCUAGAUGAUCAUUUUUAUUACCUCUCUACAAAGGAGAUAGCAUUUUCAAUUCAAAUUUGGUGGGAUAUCGUCAGAUGAGCAGUUAAAAGGCCUCCAAGAAAAGAUGGGCGAUUUGCUAUGUGCUCUGUGGUCAAGUUCUUGUAAACCAUACCUACUGAAGCAAGCUGGCAUCUCCUCCAAACCCACCAACCUUACCCCGAACGGAUAGCAUUACUCCAUUAUUAUAUCUGCUCGGCAAAUCACGAGCUCGCUAGGGCAUGCUUGCAGCAUUAAAUUCUCAACAGUGGCCAUAGAUAUUUUGUAUGUGGUAGGCUUCUUGCCACGUGAACAAUCAUGUUGUGUAGCAGUAUAUUAUCUGUCUUACAGUUCUGCUCCAAAUGUGAGAGGCUAGUGGCAAAAGGUCAGCGAACUACUUCCAAAGGAACAGCAAAUCAUUGUGAAACCAAGGCUGCUGCCGCUGCAUAUGGUACCACGGAAAAUCAGAUCCGGAAAUAAUUCAAUAACUUGUUCAUUUGGGGGCGUGGGGCACAGGAAGAUUUAUAUCAAAGUUUAAGACAAGGUCCAAGAUUAUCCAGCUUACACAAGUGGAACCAGGCCCGGAUUGACAAAACACAAAAUCUUGUUGUUUGCAUUAGCGCAGUAGUUUCUACAACAGGAGUAUGAUCUCAUGAAGCCCAGUGAUAGGCCGACAGCCACUAAACCCUGCUCAUUGUGGUUUUCCUUGUUUUCACUUUGCUCCCUUUGUCUUCUAGGAGACAGAAGGAAGAUUCAAUACUGAUUCUUUUC